rfam:Ailuropoda melanoleuca scaffold7_12, whole genome shotgun sequence.
GCCUGGUUGGCUCAGUUGGUUAAGCAUCUGCCUUCAGUUCAGGUCAUGAUCUCAGGGACGUGGGAUCGAGACCCACAGCGGGCU